AGUGGCGGACGGGUGAGUAACGCGUGGGUAACCUGCCUCAUACAGGGGGAUAGCAGCUGGAAACGGCUGGUAAUACCGCAUAAGCGCACAGUACCACAUGGUACAGUGUGAAAAACUCCGGUGGUAUGAGAUGGACCCGCGUCUGAUUAGCUGGUUGGCGGGGUAACGGCCCACCAAGGCGACGAUCAGUAGCCGGACUGAGAGGUUGAACGGCCACAUUGGGACUGAGAUACGGCCCAGACUCCUACGGGAGGCAGCAGUCGGGAAUAUUGCGCAAUGGAGGAAACUCUGACGCAGUGACGCCGCGUAUAGGAAGAAGGUUUUCGGAUUGUAAACUAUUGUCGUUAGGGAAGAGAAAGGACAGUACCUAAGGAGGAAGCUCCGGCUAACUACGUGCCAGCAGCCGCGGUAAUACGUAGGGAGCGAGCGUUAUCCGGAAUUAUUGGGUGUAAAGGGUGCGUAGACGGGAGAACAAGUUAGUUGUGAAAUACCUCGGCUCAACUGAGGAACUGCAACUAAAACUACUAUUCUUGAGUGCUGGAGAGGAAAGUGGAAUUCCUAGUGUAGCGGUGAAAUGCGUAGAUAUUAGGAGGAACACCAGUGGCGAAGGCGACUUUCUGGACAGUAACUGACGUUGAGGCACGAAAGUGUGGGGGGCAAACAGGAUUAGAUACCCUGGUAGUCCACACCGUAAACGAUGGAUACUAGGUGUAGGGUGUGAUAAACAUUCUGUGCCGUCGCAAACGCAAUAAGUAUCCCACCUGGGGAGUACGGCCGCAAGGUUGAAACUCAAAGGAAUUGACGGGGGCCCGCACAAGCAGUGGAGUAUGUGGUUUAAUUCGAUGCAACGCGAAGAACCUUACCAGGGCUUGACAUAUAGAGGAAUAUAUAAGAGAUUAUAUAGCUCUUCGGAGUCUCUAUACAGGUGGUGCAUGGUUGUCGUCAGCUCGUGUCGUGAGAUGUUGGGUUAAGUCCCGCAACGAGCGCAACCCCUAUCUUCAGUAGCCAGCAGGCAAGGCUGGGCACUCUGGAGAGACUGCCAGGGAUAACCUGGAGGAAGGUGGGGACGACGUCAAAUCAUCAUGCCCCUUAUGAUCUGGGCGACACACGUGCUACAAUGGCGGUCACAAAGUGAGGCGAACCCGCGAGGGGGAGCAAACCACAAAAAGGCCGUCCCAGUUCGGACUGUAGUCUGCAACCCGACUCCACGAAGCUGGAUUCGCUAGUAAUCGCGCAUCAGCCACGGCGCGGUGAAUACGUUCCCGGGCCUUGCACUCACCGCCCGUCA
rnacentral:rRNA from 1 species